UACGUAGGGGGCUAGCGUUGUCCGGAAUCAUUGGGCGUAAAGCGCGUGUAGGCGGUCCGGUAAGUCCGUUGUGAAAGUCGGGGGCUCAACCCUCGAAUGCCGGUGGAUACUGUCGGGCUAGAGUGCGGAAGAGGCGAGUGGAAUUCCUGGUGUAGCGGUGAAAUGCGCAGAUAUCAGGAGGAACACCAAUUGCGAAGGCAGCUCGCUGGGACGUAACUGACGCUGAGACGCGAAAGCGUGGGGAGCGAACAGG
rnacentral:rRNA from 1 species